rnacentral:lncRNA from 1 species
UUCCCUGGCCUCAUUCAGUGGGUUAUGGAUCUAGCGCUGCUGCAAGUUGCGGGGUAGGUUAUAGAUGCGGCUCCGAUCUCAGGUUGCUGUGGCUGUGGUGUGGGCUGGCAGCUGCAGCUCUGAUUCCACCCCUAGCCUGGGAACUUCCGUAUGCCACAGAUGCAGUCCUGAAAAAAAAAAAAAGAAAAGAAAAAAAAAAAGAAAUACAGUGGCCAGGACAAGGAUGUAGGUUGGCUAGCAUCUGCUUUCCCUGUGUCCCAUGGUAGAAUCAUCACGCAGGCAGCCCUUCGAAGACCAGAAAGUCCUACAAUUCACCAAAGGAAGAUUUUUCCUUGGCUUCUUCCAAGCCAUCCGGGCCCCUUCAAACCAUCCGCAUGAUGGCCAGCAGAGGGCGCUCUCCCAGGGGCCCACACUGGGUGCCAGGCCACAUAACUCUGCAAUGUGUUGGCUGAACUUUUCAGGAAACUUGGAUGCCACGCAUACUUUUCCUUUCUUUGUGGGCAGGCAAGAGGAGUCACGUUUUUCUGAAGUCUGCUCAGCCCCAGGAUCCAGACCUCACCAGCUGCCUGGAUCCAGCAGACUCCAGCCUGGGCCAGGGAGUGCAGGGCCCAGGGCCCAGGCUCUGGUGGCUCCGGGGAGGCCCAAGGACGGGCGCAGCGUCCUGGACAGAGCCAUGGAGCGCUGGCAGGUGGGGAGGACCUCAGCCAGCCAGGCACAGGAGUGGUUCCAUCCUGCUGGUCACAUAAACAGCCUGCUUUACGAGAAGACUGGUGUCGGCGUGGCAGUUCUGCAGGGCCACCAGCCUCACGUUCCAGAUCCAAGAGCCAAGGCCUAAGUCACUCCGGUCUGACCCUGAUUCGUGGAGCGUGCCCGGGCUGGGGCUUCUGCGGGGCCAGGAGGCAGGAGGUUCUCAGCCCCGGGAAGCCCUUGGCACGAGAAUCGAAGACUUGCAGGCUCCAAAUUAAAGUCUUUAAAGCCCAAGUUCAUUCCGCUACACAGAG